UACGUAGGUGGCAAGCGUUGUCCGGAUUUAUUGGGUUUAAAGGGUGCGUAGGCGGCGAUCUAAGUCAGUGCUGAAAUAUCCCGGCUUAACCGGGAGGGUGGCAUUGAUACUGGGUUGCUUGAGUAAAGUUGAGGUAGGCGGAAUUGACGGUGUAGCGGUGAAAUGCUUAGAUAUCGUCAAGAACACCAAUAGUGAAGACAGCUUACGAAACUUUAACUGACGCUGAGGCACGAAAGUGUGGGGAUCAAACAGG
rnacentral:rRNA from 1 species